GAUGAACGCUGGCGGCGUGCCUAAUACAUGCAAGUCGGGCGGAGCGGGGACGGGUGAGUAACACGUGGAUAAACUCCUAUAAGACUGGGAUAAAUUCGGGAAACCGGAGCUAAACCGGAAACUUAACGAUAGUUCCGCGCUGCAUUAGCUAGUUGGUAAGGUAACGGCUUACCAAGGCCACGAUGCAUCGCCGGCCGGAGAGGGUGAUCGGCCACACGGGAACUGAGACACGGUCCAGACUCCUACGGGAGGCAGCAGUAGGGAAUCUUCCGCAAUGGGCGCAAGCCUGACGGAGCAACGCCGCGUGAGUGAUGAAGGUCUUCGGAUCGUAAAACUCUGUUAUUAGGGAAGCGGUACCUAAUCAGAAAGCCACGGCUAACUACGUGCCAGCAGCCGCGGUAAUAC
rnacentral:rRNA from 1 species